rnacentral:lncRNA from 1 species
UUAUUUUUAUCGCCAUUGAAAAAGGAAAAACUAAAGUUCAGAAAACUCUAAGUAUAUAGUAAGCCAAGAUUCAAGCUGAGGAUUUACAACAAAUAACCCUGCCUUUUAACCACCACACUUGACCUCUCAGCACAGCAGCAGCAGUGUCUCUCAAAUAUGGUCUGAGGAUCCCUGCUUCAAAAGCACUGAGGCUGGUUUACUAAAAUGCAGAUUCUGGGGCCUUACCCCUUGUAUACUGACAUGGAACCUCUGGGAUGGGGGGCCCAGGACUCUGGAUUUUUAUUGAGCUCUCUGGCAACUCUCCUGCUCACUAACAUUUGCAAACAAAGACUGAUGGAUUAAGAUUUGGCCUCCAGUGAGGAUCUUCCCAGAUUGCUAAAUCAUGUUCAACUCUUUGUGACCCCAUGGACUACAGCACUCCAGGCUCCCCUGUCCUUCACUAUUUCCUGGAGUUUGCUCAGAUUCGUGUCCAUUGAGUUGGUGAUGCUAUCUAACCAUAGCUUCCCACAACAUUUAGUGGGAAACCUGGCCAGAGAGCUGGUCUUGGCUUGGGCAGGACUGGAGCCCAGAGCCCAGAGCUGGGGGAUCCAGACUGAUGCCAGAUCCUUCCCCAGAAGCAGUCCCUGCUGCCUGGGAGACUGGAAGGUCUGA